GAUGCCCGUUUUCACCAACAACCUCUUACCGUUUCCCUAUCUAAAUGCUACUUUUAGUAAGGAUGCCUCCCAAUUUGACACCUACCUAAAUUCAUUUUCACCACACUUGUACAUGGAUCCCUUAAGUAAGUGACAGAUUACUAGUUCUACAAACGAUAAUGCAAAGUCGAUAUUUUAUCGAUAAAAUGAUUUUUCUGUACUUCUUAAGAAAUAAACGUCUAUCGAGUAUAUAUUACUAAAGCCUGUGAGUUUUUUUUCUUGUGAUGUUAUUUUAAUUUAACUUAAACUACAUUACGCUAUGUUUUAUGCAAUAAAACAGUAAAGAGGUUUUCUAUAGGUGAAUUUUUACCUAUGUCAUUCGCGCGUUUGUCAAAUUGACUGAUGUGUAUGUGUACAUAGAGUGAGGUUAAUUUUGGGUUUAUUAUUGUUGAAUAGAUAAGUUUAUUUUGGCAGAGAAGAGAAAACGAGGAUAAACCUUUCUUGCAGAAGAAAAAGACAAGCUAGUGAAAUUGCUGACGUCUCAUAGAGACACAAUAUUAAACAAAAAACGGAUGGGACCACGAACGAAGCCAAAAACAAAGCUUGGAUCCAGUCACAAAUAGUUUUAAUGCGACAGGAACCGUUUACAGUUUCAGGUGGUGCGAGAAAUUGGAAAGACGUGUAAAAACAUGCUGCGCCCAGCCCACCUCAAAUUGAAUUGGUGCAGGAGGAUGAUGAUAAUGUUUGGUACAUCAUAUGAGGACUAAUAUUAAAAUAUUUGUUUAC
rnacentral:lncRNA from 1 species